UACGUAGGUGGCGAGCGUUGUCCGGACUUACUGGGCGUAAAGAGCGCGCAGGCGGUCGUUCAAGUCGCGUGUGAAAGCCCCCGGCUCAACUGGGGAGGGUCACGCGAUACUGAUCGACUCGAAGGCAGGAGAGGGAAGUGGAAUUCCCGGUGUAGUGGUGAAAUGCGUAGAUAUCGGGAGGAACACCAGUGGCGAAGGCGACUUCCUGGCCUGUUCUUGACGCUGAGGCGCGAAAGCUAGGGGAGCAAACGGG
rnacentral:rRNA from 1 species